CUACUUGCUUGUUCUUCCUCUUGCUUCAAACGUAGCUGAAAAAACCUUUUUUUUCCCCCAGCUACGUUUGAAGCAAGAGGAAGAACAAGCAAGUAC